CCCUUAGAUGUUCUGGGCUGCACGCGCGCUACACUGGUGCGUUCAGCGAGUUUAGCACCUUAACAGAUAUGUUUGGGUAAUCUUCUGAAAACGCACCGUGAUGGGGAUCGAUUAUUGUAAUUAUUAAUCGUCAACGAGGAAUUCCUAGUAAGUGUGAAUCAUCAGUUCGCGCUGAUUACGUCCCUGCCCUUUGUACACACCGCCCGUCGCUGCUACCGAUUGAGUGGUCCGGUGAAUUAUUCGGACCGGUGGACUGUGGGGAAACCCGCGGCCUGCUGGGAAGUCUUGUGAACCUUAUCGCUUAGAGGAAGCAGAAGUCGUAACA
rnacentral:rRNA from 1 species